rnacentral:rRNA from 1 species
UACGUAGGGGGCUAGCGUUGUCCGGAAUCAUUGGGCGUAAAGAGCGUGUAGGCGGCUCGGUAAGUCCGCUCUGAAAGCCCGGGGCUCAACCCCGGGAGGCGGGCGGAUACUGUCGGGCUAGAGUCCGGAAGAGGCGAGUGGAAUUCCCGGUGUAGCGGUGAAAUGCGCAGAUAUCGGGAGGAACACCGGUGGCGAAGGCGGUUCUCUGGGCCUGUACUGACGCUGAGGAGCGAAAGCGUGGGGAGCGAACAGG